AUUUCCGUCGCAAGAUUGCACCACGGGUCGCAUUACGGAGCACAGUCCGAUGCAGGCCGGCGACGGGGCACACAAAGCCUGCGCUAUGGGGAUG
rnacentral:SRP_RNA from 11 species